ACAGCGCUCCUCCUUGACGCCGCGAGCAGGACCCUGUCUCACUGACCCCGUGCCCACGGCGGUCCUUGCCUGCUUCUAUUCUCCCGGUUUCCCCAGUCCCGAGUAUUGGAAAGCGAGAGCGAAAGCGAAAGCAUCCUAGUCGCCGGUAGGCUGGCCUGGGCCGGGCUGGAGAGGGAGCAGGAAAUAAAAACUCGGGUGUGGGAGGAGCUGGGACGCUGGCGGCAGAGCCACUGUGGCAGCUUGAGUCUCGCGCGCGCAGGAAGCGGAGGUGGAAGUUGGGGCGCAGGAAUGUGGCUGUCCCCGCCUGUAAAUCAUGGUUGGGGAGGAGUCGCGGAGGCACCAGGCUGGGGUCUGCAGCGCGCCAUCUGCUGCAGCACACAGGAGGCGCUGAGGCUAGUUGGAGACAGAGUCUCACUGUGUCACCCAGGCUGGAGUGAAGUGGCAUGAUCUUGGCUUACUGAAACCUCCAUCUCCCAGGUUCAAGCGAUUCUCAUGCCUCAGCCACUUGAGUAGCUGGGACUACAGGAUUUCGCCAUGUUCCCCAGGCUGGUCUCAAACUCCUGAACUCAGGCAGCCCGCCUACCUUGGCCUCCCAAAGUGCUAGGAUUACAGCCCAAAUGACCCUCCAAGACCCUCUGGAGGCACCCGCAGUGCUCCUUAAUUUGCAGCUCUACAGAAUGAGACCAGCGUGGCAGCCCCCUUUCAGGACAGCUCCCGAGACGAGACGCGAGAGCAGCCCCUAAAUCUCACCCAGCAAAGCCGUUUCUUCCUAACCGGGCUGGGGAGUGCCGCGCGCUGCCAGCAGAUGGCGACAGAGGAUUAGCCUGCGGAAACCGGGUGGCAAAUGAAUCUUACUAUAACCACUUGGAACCACUGUGUUUCUGGUCCAUCUUGUGAGGCCCAUCUUUGGUUCAGAGGGAUGGAGGCAGAAGUCAUACGGCAGGUAAGCUCAAGCAGUGAUACAUGACAGGGCUUUCAGAACUGGGGCCAUGAAGAGCAGGCUUUAUUUGCAUGCUGUUUAAAAACAAGAUUUUACAACUGAUUUACCCUAUUAAACACUUCCAUGAAUAACUCAGUGGAGAUUUAUUUGCAAUAGUAGGAUCAGGUGAUUUGAAAUCUUUAGUGUGUGUGGUUGUAGCAGGAGGAGUACUGGGUUCCAGCAUUUAAUAAGAGGACCCAUGGUUUUAUGAAAAUGUCCAGAGAUAUAAUUUUGGUUAAGGUUAUACCUCAUCUUUGGUUGUACAGUUGUUUCUUUUAGUUUCAGUACAAUCUAAAACAGGAAAUGUCAAUUCACAUGGUCUGGUAGAGAAAGAAUGACUCUAAUGCUCUACUAUUCAGGUAGAAAUGAAGAAAGAAGGGUGAUCACUUCCAUGAGCACUGUAAGCCCUUGAAUGGGCUUAUAGGCAAAUACUUAUAGUUAAAAUAUGUAACUCCCAUUUUAGUAUUGGAUAGAAUACUGUCACAUUUUUUCUUAUUAAAUCUACAUUUUUACCAUCUUUCUUGAUUGAUUUUGCCAAUAAAAGUUCCUUACCUUUUUAUAAAAGUCAAAGAUUGACAUUCAUUUUUCUGUAGGAAAUUUUGUCUUGUAGAAAAAAUUAGAAGCCAAAGAUAAUAUAACCUUCCUCCAAAGAGACUUUACCAUUAAUUUUUGCAAGCAGCUGGGUGGGAGUCACUUGUAGUCCUAGAUUACAUUAACCUAAUUUAGAUUGAGGUGAUUUCAAAUUGACUUGUGUCCCUGUGAAGGCUGAGAUAUUUCUGGAACAUUUUUAUUCCUUGGGUACAACAACUUUUUACCCAUCCAAAAUCCUGUGGUGUUUAUUAGGUUUCCUACUAGCUGACAGGCUUUAAACUCUGACUUUUUCCUCCCUCAGCUUCACGAUUCGAACUCAAAUGUCUGGUCAGCUACUCAGCCAUCUCUUCCAAGCUGUCAGGUUUCCCUAAGGUAAGAGCCAUACUGAUAUGGUUUGGCUCUGUGUCCCCACCCAAAUCUCAUCUUGAAUUUUAAUCCCAAUAACCCCCAAGUGUCAAGGGGGGAAUCUGGUGGGAGGUGAUUGGAUCAUGGGGACAGUUUUGCCCAUGCUGUUCUCAUGAUAGUGAGUUCUCAUAAGAUAUGAUGGUUUUAUAAGGGGCUAUUCCCACUACACUUUUAUCUCUCCUGCCACCCUGUGAAGAAGGACAUAUUUUCUUCCCCUAAUUCCAUGAUUGUAAGUUUCCUGAGGCCCCCCAGCCAUGUGGAACUGUGAGUGAAUUAAACCUCUUUCCUUUAUAAAUUACCCAGUUUUGGGUAUUUCUUUGUAGCAGUGUAAAAACAGAUUAAUACAGGAAAUUGGUACCAGGAGUUUGGGGCACUGCCACAAAGAUACUUAAAAAUGUGGAAACCACUUCGGAACUGGGUAACAGGAAGAAGUUGGGACAGUUUGGAGGGCUCAGAAGACAGGAAGAUGUGGGAAAGUGUGGAACUUCCUAGAGACUUGCUGAAUGGUUUUGACCAAGAUGCUGAGAGUGAUAUGGACAACGAAGUACAGGCUGAGGUGUUCUUAUAUGGAGAUGAGGAACUUAUUUGAAACUGGAGCAAAUGUCACUCUUGCUAUGCUUUAGCAAAGAGACUGGAGGCAUUUUACCCCUGACCUAGAGAUCGGUGGAACUUUGAACUUUUAUUAGUCCAUUUUCAUACUGCUAUGAAGAAGUACCUGAGAUUGAGUAAUUUAUAAAGAAAAAGAGGUUUAAUGUACUCACAGUUCCACAUGGCAGAGGAGGCCUCACAAUCAUGGUGGAAGGUGAAGGAGGAGGAAAGCCGUGUCUUACAUGAUGGCAGUCAACAGAGCAUGUGCAGGGGAACUGCCCUUUAUAAAACCAUCAGGUCUUGUGAGACUUAUUCACUAUCACAAGAACAGCACAGGAAAAACCCACCCCCAUGAUUCAAUUACCUCCCACUGGGUCCCUCCCAGGACAUAUGGGGAUUAUGGGAGCUACAAUUCAAGAUGAGAUUUGGGUGGGGACAGAGCCACACCAUAUAAUUCCACCCCUGGUCCCUCCCAAAUCUCAUGUCCUUACAAUUCGAAACACAAUCAUCCCCUUCCAACCGUCUCCCAAAGUCUUAACUAAUUGCAGCAUUAAUACAAAAGUCCAAAUCCAGAGUCUCAUCUGAGACAAGGCAAGUCCCUUCCACCUAUGAGCCUGUAAAAUCAAAAGCAAGUCAGUUACUUCCUAGAUAUAAUGGGGGUAGAGGCUUUGGGUAAAUAUACCCAUUCCAAAUGGGAUAAAUUGCCAAAACAAAAGGGCCACAGCCCCCAUGCAAGUCCAAAAUCCAGCAGGGCAGUCAAAUCUUAAAGCUCCAAAAUAAGCUUUGACUAUAUGCCUCACAUCCAGGUCACACUGAUGCAAGAGGUGGGUUCCCAUGGUCCUGGGCAGCUCUGCCCCUGUGGCUUUGCAGGGUACAGCCCACUCCCCCUUCCCCGGCUGCUUUCAUGAGCUGGCAUGAAAAUGGACAUUGGGCAAACUCACAGUCUGGCAUGAAGCUUUUCCAGGAGCAUGGUGCAAGCUGUUGGUGGAUUUACCAUUCUGGCGUUUGGAGGAUGGUGGCCCUCUUCUCACAGCUACACUAGGCAGUGUCUCGGGGGGACUCUCUGUGGGGGCUACCACCUCACAUUUCCCUUCUGCACUGCCCUAGCAGAGGUUCUCCAUGAGGGCUCCACCCCUGCAGCAAACUUCUGCCUGGAUAUCCAGGCGUUUCCAUACAUCCUGUGAAAUCUAGGUGGAGGUUCCCAAACCUCAAUUCUUUACUUCUGUUCACCUGCAGGCCCAACACCAUGUGUAAGGCACCAAGGCUUGGGGCUUGCACCCUCUGAGUCAAUGGCCUGAGCUAUAUCUUGGCCCCUUUUAGCCACAGCUGGGACACAGGGCACCAAGUUCUAAGACUGCACAAAGCAGCAAGACCUGGGGUUUAGCCCAUGAAACCACUUUUUCCUUCUAGGCCUCUGGGCCUGUGAUGGGAGGGGCUGUCAUGCAGACCUCUGGCAUGCUCUGGAGACAUUUUCCCCAUUGUCUUGGUGAUUAACAUUUGGCUCCUUGUUACUUAUGCAGAUUUCUGCAGCUGGCUUAAAUUUACCCUCAGAAAAUGAGGUUUUAUCUUCUAUCACAUCGACGGGCUGCAAAUUUUCUGAACUUUUAUGAUCUGCUUCCCUUUUAAACAUAAGUUCCAAUUCCAAAUGAUAUCUUUGUGAAUGACUAAAACUGAAUGCUUUUAAGAGUACCCAAGUCACAUCUUGAAUGCUUUGGUGCUUAGAAAUUUCUUCUUCCAGAUACCCUAAAUCAUCUCUCUCAAGUUCAAAGUUCCACAGAUCUCUAGGGUGGGGCAAAAUGCCACCAGCCUCUUUGCUAAAGCAUAGCAAGAAUGACCUUUGCCCCAGUGCCCAAGUUCCUCAUCUCUGUCUGAGACCAUGUCAGCCUGGAAUUUAUUGUCGGUAUCACUAUCACAUUUUGGGCAAAGGCAUUCGACAAGUCUCUAUGAAGUUCCAAACUUUCCCACAUUUUCCUGUCUUCUUCUGAGCCCCCUAACCUUUUCCAACCUCUGCCUGUUACCCAGUUCCAAAGUUGCUUCCACAUUUUCAGGUAUGUUUACAGCAGCACCCCACUCUCUGUGAUACCAAUUUACUGUAUUAGUCCAUUUUCAUACUACUAUGAAGAAAUACCUGAGACUGGGUAAUUUAUAAAGAAAAAGGGGUUUAAUGGACUCAGAGUUCUACAUGGGUGGGGAGGACUCACAAUCAUGGUGGAAGAUGAAAGAGGAGCAAAGGCACAUCUUACAUGGCAGCAGGCAAGAGGGAGCAUGUGUAGGGGAACUCUCCUAUAUAACUAUCAGAUCUUGUGAGACUUAUUCACUAUUGCAAGAACAGCAUAGAAAAAACUCAUCCCCGUGAUUCAAUUACCACCCACUGGGUCCCUCCCAGGACAUGUGGGGAUUAUGGGAGCUACAGUUCAAGAUGAGAUUUGGGUGGGGACACAACCAAACCAUAUCAGAACUUGAGAGAGAUUAUUUGAAAUUGGAACAUAUGUUUAAAGGGAAGGAGAAUGUAAAAGUCUGGAAAAUUUGCAGCCUGACCAUAUGGUAGAAAAGAAAAACCCAUUUUCUGGGAAGAAACUCAAGCUAGCUACAGAAAUUUGCAUAAGUAACGAGAAGCCAAAUCUUAAUUGCCAAGACAAUGGGGAAAAUGUCUCCAGGGCAUGUCAGAGAACUUAGUGGCAGCUCCUCCCAUCACAAGCCUGGUUACACGGUUAGGUGGAAAAGACAAGUUGUAUGUAGAGAUCAUUAUCAGAAAUUGCUAAACUCUGUCAUCAAAAACUCUGUUGGAAUGGAUUUUAAAAUUUCUUAAUAAAAGAUGAAACAUGACUUUGGUUUAGUUUUUGAAGUGGUGCACUCUCC
rnacentral:lncRNA from 1 species